rnacentral:rRNA from 1 species
CUACGGGUGGCUCCAGUGAGGAAUAUUGCACAAUGGGGGGAACCCUGAUGCAGCAACGCCGCGUGGAGGAUGACGCAUUUCGGUGUGUAAACUCCUUUUAUAUGUCAAGAAAAUGACGGUAGCAUAUGAAUAAGCACCGGCUAACUCCGUGCCAGCAGCCGCGGUAAUACGGAGGGUGCAAGCGUUACUCGGAAUCACUGGGCGUAAAGGACGCGUAGGCGGGUUGGAAAGUCAGGUGUGAAAUCCUACAGCUUAACUGUAGAACUGCACUUGAAACUUCUAAUCUAGAGUAUGGGAGGGGGAGAUGGAAUUAGUGGUGUAGGGGUAACAUCCGUAGAUAUCACUAGGAAUACCUAAAGCGAAGGCGAUCUCCUGGAACAUUACUGACGCUAAGGCGUGAAAGCGUGGGGAGCAAACAGGAUUAGAUACCCGCGUAGUC